UACGUAGGGUGCGAGCGUUGUCCGGAAUUACUGGGCGUAAAGAGCUCGUAGGCGGUUUGUCGCGUUGUUCGUGAAAUCUCACGGCUUAACUGUGAGCGUGCGGGCGAUACGGGCAGACUAGAGUACUGCAGGGGAGACUGGAAUUCCUGGUGUAGCGGUGGAAUGCGCAGAUAUCAGGAGGAACACCGGUGGCGAAGGCGGGUCUCUGGGCCGUAACUGACGCUGAGGAGCGAAAGCGUGGGGAGCGAACAGG
rnacentral:rRNA from 1 species